rnacentral:tRNA from 1 species
GGAGAGGUGGCAGAGUGGUCGAUUGCGGCGGUCUUGAAAACCGUUGAUCUUCACGGGUCCGGGGGUUCGAAUCCCUCCCUCUCCGCUA